CUGUAUUGUGUAACAUCCUCCCUCUGUUCAGCCUCCCAGUUAUCUUUCUGUCCUCUCACAGCUGGUCUCAUGAGACAUUUACUUGCCUGUGGUACCUUGUUGUGGUAAAUUAGAGCUAACUAGUGGGAAGUGGCUACUGCUGGAACACAUUGUCUCUGGAAGCUCAAGAAGGAUCUGGGAGACUUGCUUCAAGCAAGAAGGAAACCAGGCGCUCACUUCCUCCAGAACCUUUUUCUCUGCUGAAGACUAGAAUGGCCAAUUGUGGGUCGUGUUUCUGGUGCCUCAUAUGGCUGGUGAUCCUGCUGGUCUUUGGCUGGCCCCUCGGCAUCACCUUAGGGGGUCUCUACGGCCUGAUCAGCCCCCUCACCACCUGCCUCGGCCUGGACCGACUCUCUGAUUUACUUCUGGAGGGAGCCAACCUGGGCCGCACUUGUGCCAAUAACAUGAGGCACAGCAAGCCUUUGUGCUGAGACCCAUCCUGAGUGAUCAGCACAACAGCCGGAAGCAAGAUUUUUUGAUUUUUAGAAAAGGCUUCACUUUGAGGAAGACUGUUAUUGUCUAUUUCAUGCGGGGAAACCCCCGAGAUGACUGGUGCUCAAUAAAUUAAGAAACUUUCUAACAACUUAUAUAAGAAAAAGGUCUGGAAGGUCAGGAAAAUGGAUUCCACUCCUACUGUUAACAUGUAAUUAACCGUGGAUUUCCAAUUUGUGUGGGUUUGUAAGGAAGAAAAUAGGCUUUGUGUUCAUGGUCUGUGUUUGCUGUUUAAUUCACGAUGACACUGCAUGAAGAAGAUAAGAACGGAAAUGGCAAUUUAACAAUGAAAAUGUUUAGACUUGUAAAUGACUGUGUGGGAACUUCUAAUGCGAUUAAACACUGCUUUGAACUUGC